UAAGACGAACCGUGCGAACGUUGUUCGGAAUCACUGGGCUUAAAGGGCGCGUAGGCGGGUCUCUAAGUCCGGGGUGAAAGCCCCCAGCUCAACUGGGGAAGCGCCUUGGAUACUGGGGGCCUCGAGGGGGGUAGGGGCGUGCGGAACUUCCGGUGGAGCGGUGAAAUGCGUAGAUAUCGGAAGGAACACCGGUGGCGAAAGCGGCGCGCUGGACCCCUUCUGACGCUGAGGCGCGAAAGCCAGGGGAGCAAACGGGAUUAGAUACCCCGGUAGUCCUGGCCCUAAACGUUGGGUACUAGGUUGUGGGCUUACAUGGGCUCACAGCCGGAGCAAAAGUGUUAAGUACCCCGCCUGGGGAGUAUGGUCGCAAGGCUG
rnacentral:rRNA from 1 species